rnacentral:rRNA from 1 species
UACGGGGGGAGCAAGCGUUGUUCGGAAUCAUUGGGCGUAAAGGGCGUGUAGGCGGCUUGCUAAGUCUGGUGUGAAAGCCCUCGGCUCAACCGAGGAAGUGCACUGGAAACUGGUGAGCUUGAGUACGGGAGAGGGAAGCGGAAUUCCUGGUGUAGAGGUGAAAUUCGUAGAUAUCAGGAGGAACAUCCGUGGCGAAGGCGGCUUCCUGGCCCGAUACUGACGCUGAGGCGCGAAAGCGUGGGGAGCAAACAGG